rnacentral:misc_RNA from 1 species
CGCACAUUGCGCCCAUUAGUAUUCUAGUGGGCAUGCCUGUUCGAGCGUCAUUUCAACCUUUAAGCCUAGCUUAGCGUUGGGAAUCUACUGUCUAAGCCGUCCUACCCUGUAGUGGCCUACCCUGUAGUUCCUCAAAUUCAGCGGCGGAGUUAUAGCAUCCUCUGAGCGUAGUAAACUUUUUUCUCGCUUUUGUCAGGUGUUGUAGCUUUUGCCGUUAAACCCUUAAUUUUAUAUGGUUGACCUCGGAUCAGGUAGGAAUACCCGCUGAACUUAA